CCUGCCCCUACUGGUGUUUCAGGAGCCACAUAUGCAGCAGUAGGUGGCAGAGAGGAGAGAGGCUAUGUCUACACUCAGUUCUGACCUAUAAAGCCUGAGACAACCAACACUC
rnacentral:snoRNA from 1 species